GGGGCUGACCGGUAUCGACAGGUUGGUUCGGUGUAUGUAAGCAUGCCGAGCAUUGUAUGUUAAGCUCGUAAAUCCUAAUGUACAAACACUUCAAAUGGCGAGAAUAACUACGCCAUGGCUGCUUAAUACCAAUUUGUAUUAAGUGCCAUUGCUCCCGGAAAGUUUUUUUUCGGUAUCUUUUCAAGGGGAGUAUCGAAUCAACCGAAAUAGUUUGGCGGGUUGUUCCACCCAAAGAAUGAAACAAAUAGGAACUUACGGUGUAUGCCGGUGGGCUGCUUUACCUACAUAUACCCGACAAUUAAAUAGCAGAUAAGCAUGUAGAAAGCAUAUGUCAGCUUUCUCUGGACGAGGGUUCGAAUCCCUCCAGCUCCACAA
rnacentral:tmRNA from 1 species